CGACCACGGGCGCAGACACAGGGGGCGGUUCCAUCACCGUGGGGGAAGCCACAGCUCGGAGGAGCGAGGGAGGAGCGAGAGCCUCUCCAGUGAGGAGAUCUGAGGACUGGAAAUGGUGAUGCCGUGUGCCGACCCCUCCAGCGACACGAGGAGAUCCUGGAGGAACCCCAGAACCCUGGAAUGAUCAAUAAACCCUGGAAUGAUCAAUAAUCCCUGGAAUGAACAAUAAACCCUGGAAUGAUCAAUAAACCCUGGAAUGAUCAAUAAA